GUGCUUGCUUCAGCAGCACAUAUACUAAAAUUGGGAAUGAUACAGAGAUUUGCAUGGUCCCUGUGCAAGGAUGUCACACAAAUUCAUGAAGCGUUCCAUAUUUUA